CAGUCGCACCCGCGGGUAAUCAACCAUCUGGGUGCGAUCAUGUUGGGUGGCUGAGGGAGCCUAACCGCCUUCUCGGCUCGCGUGUUUGUGCUCGUUGGUGUACUUAUUCGCAUGGUAGGUUAGCAUCAAUUUCGGUCGUCAUAAAAUGACGGGAGGAAUGUAGCUUUGAUCUCGUAUUAAAGUGUUAUAGCCUCUGGUAGAUGUGAUGAUCGGGAUUGAGGAUUGCAACGAACCCUCUGGGCCACUCGUCUGGCCUCUGGUGGUCGCUCUGGUUCCGGAAGCUUGCUUACGGUUGUCAGAGUUUGGUGCCAAAAGGUUAGAACGGGAUGAU
rnacentral:rRNA from 1 species